CCGCCUCGCCCCUCCUGGUCAGGGUGGGGGCGUACCAAGAGGACAUCCAAUGCAGGGCCAAAGGGGAAAAAAUAACACCACGGGAGUAAAAAACUGGAGGAAAAAAAUGAAGCACCGACACAUGCUACAACAUGGAUGAACCCUGAAAACAUUAUGCUAAGUGAAAGAGGUAACAGGAGAACCAUUGACCCAGUCUCCCAGAGGAAGAUGUGUCCCUCCUCCAGCCCAAAGCCAACCCCUCCACUGUGCUCCAGAUCCCCUCUCAUCUCUCAUUGCUUCCUCAGUCAUCCUUCUCGGACUUUCCUGUUGGUGCAGUGGUCAAGAAUCUGCCUGCCAAUGCAGGGGAUACAGGUUCGAGCCCUGGUCCAGGGAGAUCCCACAUGUAGCAGAGCAACUAAGUCCGUGCACCACAACUACUGAGCCUGCACUCUAGAGCCCACGUGCCACAACUACUGAACCUGCAUGCUGCAACUACUGAAGCCCGUGCGCAACAAGAGAAGAGCCCAUGCUCCGCAACAAGAGAAGCCACCACAAUGAGAAGCCUGCGCACUGCAACGAAGAGUAGCCCUUGCUCGCUGCAACUAGAGAAAACCUGCACGCAGCAACGAAGACCCAAUACAGCCAAAAAAAUAAAAGAAAUAAAAAGAAAUAUUUUUUUUAAUGUUAAA